GGUUUGGGUGCGCUCUGUAUUACCAGCAGCAUGUCCAGCAGACUGCUUAGCAAAGUUUAGACAAAGAAGAAACAGCUUCAUGGUAGACACAGAGAUUAGUGGCGGUACCGAGCAAAUGGAGGCAGCCCGAAAAAAGGCGCGGGUCGCAACAUCAGUUUUCUGGAGAUUCUUCAGAUUUAGAAAAUCUGUCAAAGAUCAAAAAACAAAACUAUUCAAAGAGUGUGGUGUAGCUGUCGUUACAGAAGGAGGAAACACCAGGAACCUCCUCCACCACCUAAAGAUGAAACACGCCAAGCUCUAUUAUGAGCGCCAAAUGACGCGACGCACCUGCGCCGAAAACUAAAACUGCAGCAGCUCCUCUCAUAUAAAAGAGCUCGGCAGAGUCUUUCGCCAAAGGUACGCCAUAUGAUAGAAACAAAUCCAAGGUUAAAAAUAAAAGUAAAAUGAACAAAUUUGACAGUUUGAUUAUUUUCAAGACAUUAAUUGAAUUUAAAGUGGGUAAAACACACCGUGAUAUAAACUGUUACUGUGAUAUGAAAUUACUCAUGAUAUAAGAUUUUACUCAUACCGCCCAACACUACCUGAGAUCAAACAACACUGAGCCCAACUUCAGCAGAGCUCUCGUGAUCUUUAUUCACACUUGAUGACCUCAAAGUCUCCGCAGAGGUCAUGUGGUGUCAGGACUUUUGCUCAUGUGGUUUAAUUGGAUCAUAUUUCAUGGAGACACGGUUGGAGAUAAGUUUGCAAAAGGAGCCUCUGCUGGUCUGUUUGUGAAGACUCGCUCAGUGAGCCUCUCAGCCUGCAGGCCUGUUAGUUUACUCUUCGCACACUGGAAGGUCUCAGUCCCGAAGAGAGUCUGUGUUUGCACCUCCAAUUUGUACAAGAGCUUUCUGCCAAGGGGGUUGGGGGUUAUGAGGCUUAAGCGGGGUGGAACCAAACAGGGAAUCGUAGCAGAGUUUUGGCUAACGCUGAAGUUACAGCCUCUAGCAGCGAAGGUUAGAGGCAGGUCAAGCGCUAGCAGGCACUCUUCUCCAGAAGCGUGAGCUGGAGUUUGGGGUGCAGAGUCUAAACAAGAAGGAAAACCGACUCAUGCCUGUUUUCCUCUUUGUGAAAUGAUUACGAGCUGAUUUGGGAGGUCGAAUGGAUUUGUGACAUAUUUCUACAUCUGCACAGCAAAAAUUAAAACUACGUAGAUGUUUUAUCUUCUCUUCAGGUAGAAAAAAAAGUCAAAUAAGACUUAAUCUAAACCACCAGGACCGGACAAACCCAGAUAAAGGUCUUGUUUCAUAAAAAAUAAUAUAUUCUAUUUCUGUAUGUUUAUUUUUAUUUACUUGAUGUUGGAGGUUGGCAUGAGAGAGGUUUGGGGGGUUUUAUUGAAUGAUUUGGACCUGGUUCGUCAUAAUUGAGCUGAAGGGAGUUGGUUCAUUUCCCAUGUUUUGUGUCUGAUAGGCAGUGUUUUAUUGGUUAAGACACUUUUGUGGACUCGUCAGAUUGGUGCAUCUGAGAUGACGUCUAACAGCACUUUCCCAUUAAAGCCUUAAUGCGUACCUGUUAAACUGUCAGCUGAGUUUAUUUGAUGUCAGGAGAACAAAAUGAAAGGACACUUACGGACAGUCAAUAUGAUUAUUAUGAGUUUUUCCUCACUUUCAAAACCAGGAAAUAGAAUCAUAAAAACCUCCAAAACAGCAGCUAUAGCACCGCUCUGUUGUUGCUGUUAUUUUGCAGGCAGAGCAGACUGUCAAACUCUUAAUGUAUCUGCACAUUUGCAUUGUUAUUGUGACAACGACAGCAAAAUAUACUGUUGGAACACGCAAACCCAAUCUGGUCACUUGUAAAACACAAUGUGGAUAGUCAUCCAUAAAUAUCACAUUCCACAAAACAAAUUGCAUUUGCUCGCAGUCUGAGAAUCUCGCUCUCUCUGUCUCUCUCUUUUGCAAAGCGACAACAAGUCCUCCUGUUCUAUUCAAAAUAAGGAGGAAAUGAAGCCAGCACUGUAAAGCCAGGCUCCAGCUGGCCCCUCAGACUGUAAAUGUUUUCACACAACGCCGACCCAACCAGCGGUGUGAGGCCGGGGAGUGACAUGCAUUCUCACACGGUCUCACCGCGUCACAGUGCAAUCAAUGAAACGUGGUGGUCAGGUAAGCAGGUCCUUAACCUUCACACCCGCGGAUGAUGAAUGGUGUCGCGGGGGAAGGCUUUGAGUCAGCAGGCCAUCACAUGGGCAGGUGGAAAAUGGUGCAAAAAUACCUCCUGCUGCAUGUCAGACAAGAUUAAUCCGGUUGAGUUUAUGGACAGGUAGAAUUCACAAUUCCUUAAACGCGGACAUUAGAGUAAUUGCAGAUGUCCUCAUGCAUCCUUUUGAAAUUCAAAGUGGCUCCAUUUGACAACCAAAGUGACUUUCCUUUGUCUUUGCAUGUAAAUAGAAAAAAGAAGUCGAGUAUUAAAUAACGCCGCCAUCUGUUAAUGUCAAAUCCAACUGCCAUGGAUCCAAUUUCUCAGGUGCGUAACAGUCGAAAUCUGACAUACCUGUGAUAUUACAUAUGGGGAUCAAGCGCUAUCAUUCACGCAGCGUACAUAUGGUAAAUUGCCUCUCGGCGCUUGAUUGCAAAGUCGUCCUUGGAUUUAUCUGAGCUUAUGUCUCGAACGCCAACAUCCUCUCACCUGCGUUAACUCAUUAGGUGUUUAUACACCCGAGUGUCAUAGACGACCCUGCAGGAAACAGUUAUGAGGCUGUAGGAUAUGUGACAUCUGGAGACUGCUGUGUGAGUUUAAUCACUUAAGAAACUUCUCAUUUUACAACAUUACUUUAGGGAAUUGUAAAACCAAGAUGAGAAUUUCCUCAUUGACGAAAAUAGCGGCACCAUAAGUCAUAUAACCCAUAUGGUUGUACGCCAAUGUGGGCCUGUUCGUGAGUUUAUGUGACAAAGUAGAAAAGCUGUUAUUGACGACUUUUAGUAGCAACAAAAAAGGUCCCACUGAGCUAAAGUCUCUAAAUCUUGACAAAAAAAGACAGCUGAAUAUUAUCUGCCAGCUAAAACAUCGAGAAUCGACUUUGAAAUAAAAGUUUAAAGGUAACAAAUAAAGAGCAAAUGUGCACUGUCAGAUUUGUGUGAUGCUAAAAGGAAAGACCUCGAGGAACAUCUCACAACUAAGGCCAGGUCCCUCAGCCGUAAAGAUGGGAGGAGGAUCAGUUUAUCAUUGUGAAGUGACAUUUUCUGCAGACGCAUGUGAACAAAAUAAUGGAAAUACUGAUAAUUAUUAACUGGAUGACCAUGAUCUCCUCCUGGCGCUGGACUAAUGCUGCGAUCCAGUUACCUCGGAAGUUGGAUGUCGGAGCUGGGAAUGACAUCACACCUGAGUUGACGGCGUUCCAGUAAACAAGUCGGAAAACCAAGAUGGACGUCUACUUUUACGUGUUGUUAGCAGUUGUUAGCUAUACCUGUCGUAAACAAUGCAUAACACAGUAUUUUACUCCAACAAACACCAUAGCACCGUGUUCAGAGUUAGACGUUGGGCAGUACGACAAAAAACACUUAGUUAAUUUCACUAAAACAAAACAGAAGUGCUAAUAAGUAAAACAUUACAAGAGCUUUCACUGUUACUCUGUACUGUUGAUGCACUGUGCUGCCAUCUUGGAUUAUGACUUGGGGUGCACCGAUCACAAUUUUCUAGCCGAUCACUGAUCUUGGCACACGACCUGGUGGGCUGGCCUGUUAUUCUGGCAAAGCCAAAAGCUAAAACAGCUGACUUUCAGACCUUUGCUGAGGUAAAUAAGAUUGGUGGAAAAAAUUGGUUUCAUAUGUAAGGAUCAGCUGAUCACCCCCGAAUUUGAGGAAAUCGGUGCAGAUCGAUCGUCCGGCCAAUUCACAAAUCCAGGUCAAAAUCAUAUCAACAUGAGAUUAGUGGUGUCCCGAUACGUUAGUGAUAUUGGUCCGAUAUCAACAAAAAACAAAUAUCCUGUACCUAAACUCAUCGAUAUCAGCUCUCCGAUACAAGCAGUCCAUUCCAGACCCCACUCUGGCACCUCUAUCCAGCAGUACCCGGAUCCAGUAUGUAGAGCCCAUGUGAUCACAACAACAGUGUGUACUAAGGUACCAACAAAGUAGCAAAGAGCAGGAGUGAUGUCGGUAAAAUCGGAUUAAUAUCGGUAUUGGACGAUACUGAAGGCGACAAUAUCGGUAUAGUAUUGGAGGUAAAAAAAGUUUUAUCGGGACACCCCUACUGGAAGUCAUGCACAUCACAUCCUUCACGUCUGGAAGGCUCCAUUCAUGCUAAACAAUCUACAGGUUUGGAGAAACAUAUGCUGCUAAUAAGAGAGCGCCCUCUACUGGGGAAACCCUCAUAACCACAUGUAUGACAACAUCAUGGCUCUGAAGUAGAAGAGUCCCCGUGCCAAACUGGCCUGACUGCGGUCCAGACUCACCCACUGAAACAUUAAACCUGCAGAAAAGGAGACUCUGACUUUCAUUUUCCCUGAUCCAUCCCACUGAUGUGGAUUUCACACUCGGCUCGAUGUCGUAUUUACCAAUAAUUGCAGAAGCUUCAUCCUCAAAAACAAACGCCAUGGCACUUUUAUUUUAAUUUCAUACAUUUGAUUUGAAACAAACAGUGUCCAAAAACGUCCCCCUGUUUCCAUUAACCAGCUCGACUACGGAACUAAAGGCGAUUCGCGCGACACUCCAAAUUAAAUUACAGCAAACCAGGACCGCUGCGAGCUUAUUUUCCUUUUCUCCACAAACUUAAAAUGGUGUUCACCAUCUGGUCCCCGAGGCUACUUUGAGACGACACUUCAGAAAUACUCACAUGUGUGAAAUUUGACUAAAUAAAGUCUCUGUAAUCACUCAUGUAAUUCCUGAGCCUGUCAUAGUAUGCUCGCUAAUGUCUCUCUAAACCUACAAGAGCUGGAGUUUUUAGGGCUUAAGCGUGCGCUGACAUGUUGGCGGGUAUUUAUUCAUGCACUUUUUUUUCUGCUGGUACUUUUUGCACCAUUUGUUCAGUGGGAGGACUCUCCAUAGAGACACUCGAGGCUUUAUCUAUGCAUUAAGUGCUUAAAAACAGCAGGGCUUAUUAAAGAAUUAUAACUCCUACAGCAGAUUCUGAUGUGUUUGUAUGAAAAGGCAGCUCUGAAUGUGUGGGCAGGGUUACUUUAAAUCAGGUCUGACACAGGCACACGGCUCCAAGAGCUCAAUUUUACUCCUGGAUCUAAAAUUGCUCUGAUAGCUUUCUGAUAGCGAGCAAUCUCACAGUAUCUCAAGAAACAAGAACUGCUGCAUCGAUUUCUCCCAAAAUAAGCCCAGAAAAAGGAGUUUACAUUUCAACAGCGCAACAUUGGGAGCUUUUGAGAGGCAUUUAAUUACCUUUAAUACCUCUCCAACUGAUAACAAAGCUUACUGGAAAGCUACACCUCGCAGGUGUAGUGUUAUGACUAUUUAUACAGUCAGUUCCUGCCCUCGACAAGCACAGGAACCUAACACCGCUGCUACUUUUAACGCCUCGCCUUUGUUUGCCAAUUCAUGAAAUCAAUGUUCCCUCUUUAAUAAUUAAAAGCUCUGCUCCUUGCAGGGGUAAUAUGUGUGGAUUUGUUUGCGUAAAUAGCCACAUCACAUGCAACAUAAUACUCCACAACACCCCAGCUGUGUGCAAAUGAGAGUGUGCAAGACGCUCUAAAUGCUUGUGCAUCUUCGCAGACAAACGCACACACUCACACAUGCAGCAAAGUCAUUAUCACAUAUGACACAUUACCAUACCAGUGUGGGUUUUUAUCAUGUAUGACAAACAGCUGGGUAACAUGUUUUCUUUCUCUCUGGUUUGAGCUCAGAAGCGUCUCAGUUGUUUCCAGACAAACAUCACGUACGUUUUAGAGCAAAGUUUUUCAACCUUUUUUUAAACGGCACAUUUUUUACAAAAUCCUGGGGCACACCACCAACCAAAAUGAAACUCUGUAGCCUAACACAGUAUAUGUUAUAGAAUGCAGGGAUGCACUGAAAUGAAAAUUCUUGGCUAAAACUGAAAAUGAGGAAACCACGGCCGAAACCUGAAAGAAAUGAUUACGCCAAUUAUUAGUACCGUUACAUUUAUGGUUAUAACUGUCUACCAAUCUCACUAAACUCAAAGC